rnacentral:rRNA from 1 species
AGAGUUUGAUCCUGCUCAGGACGAACGGCUGGCGGCGUGCCUAACACAUGCAGUCGAGCGGAGAUAAUUUGUAGCUUGCUACAAAUUAUCUUAGCGGCGGACGGGUGAGUAACGCGUGGAUAACCUGCCUUUUACAGGGGGAUAUCACAGGGAAACUUGUGCUAAUACCGCAUAACAUAUCGAAGUGGCAUCACUUAGAUAUCAAAGGAGAAAUCCGGUAGAAGAUGGAUCCGCGUCCGAUUAGCUAGUUGGCGGGGUAAAGGCCCACCAAGGCGAUGAUCAGUAGCUGGUCUGAGAGGACAAUCAGCCACACUGGGACUGAGACACGGCCCAGACUCCUACGGGAGGCAGCAGUGAGGAAUUUUCCGCAAUGGGCUAACGCCUGACGGAGCAAUGCCGCGUGGAGGAGGAAGGCCUGUGGGUCGUAAACUCCUUUUCUCAGAGAAGAAGAUCUGACGGUACUUGAGGAAUAAGCCACGGCUAAUUCCGUGCCAGCAGCCGCGAUAAUACGGGAGUGGCAAGCGUUAUCCGGAAUUAUUGGGCGUAAAGCGUCCGCAGGCGGCCUUGAAAGUCUGUCGUUAAAGCGUGGAGCUUAACUCCAUUUCGGCGGUGGAAACUACAAGGCUUGAGUGUGGUAGGGGCAGAGGGAACUCCCGGUGUAGCGGUGAAAUGCGUAGAUAUCGGGAAGAACACCAGUGGCGAAGGCGCUCUGCUGGGCCAUAACUGACGCUCAUGGACGAAAGCUAGGGGAGCGAAAGGGAUUAGAUACCCCUGUAGUCCUAGCCGUAAACGAUGAACACUAGGUGUCGGGGGAAUCGACCCCCUCGGUGUCGUAGCUAACGCGUUAAGUGUUCCGCCUGGGGAGUACGCACGCAAGUGUGAAACUCAAAGGAAUUGACGGGGGCCCGCACAAGCGGUGGAGUAUGUGGUUUAAUUCGAUGCAACGCGUAGAACCUUACCAGGGUUUGACAUCCUGCGAAUCCCUUGGAAACUUGGGAGUGCCUUCGGGAGCGCAGAGACAGGAGGUGCAUGGCUGUCGUCAGCUCGUGUCGUGAGAUGUUGGGUUAAGUCCCGCAACGAGCGCAACCCACGUCUUUAGUUGCCAGCAUUUAGUUGGGCACUCUAGAGAGACCGCCGGUGAUAAACCGGAGGAAGGUGUGGAUGACGUCAAGUCAUCAUGCCCCUUACAUCCUGGGCUACACACGUACUACAAUGCUACGGACAAAGGGUUGCAAACUCGCGAGAGCUAGCUAAUCCCAUAAACCGUGGCUCAGUUCAGAUCGUAGGCUGCAACUCGCCUACGUGAAGGAGGAAUCGCUAGUAAUCGCAGGUCAGCAUACUGCGGUGAGUACGUUCCCGGGCCUUGCACUCA